GGACCCAGGCCUACAGGUUGGCAUGCCCACGUGUGUCUCUUUGCCACAUACCUGAGUGUGUCUGGAGGGUUUUCAGUUCCCAGGGCAUUAGGGUCCUUGGGGGUCACUGGGCCAGCUCUUGGCCUCCAGCAGGUUACAGAUAGGGAGAUGUGCUCUGGGAGUGCUGGGGAAACCCUGACACCCAGGGCUUGGGAGGUGCCCUGGGGACACAGCUGAGAAGGGGAGCACCUUCCAGAGACAUGACCCCGGACCUCACACAUGGUUGAUGCUCUGGAUCCGGUCAGACUGAUUGGCCUUGGGCUUCCCCAGGCUGAUGGUUGGGCUCUGCGUGGGUCAUUCAUAACUGGGGUUGGGUGCACUCACUGGGACGCAGCCUACAUCGACCUUUCAGCCCUGUAGUCCCCAUUCACCUGACCACAUCAGCACAGACUGGGAGCCGAAGUGCUCAACGGCAUAAAGAUGGCAGCCUGCUGCCUGGGAAGAGGCUCUGCUGGGAGGACGCUGGUCUGGGUGGGUGGAGACAGAAGAGGAGGAAAGCUCAGCCAGGGAGAGUCAGUGGCUCAUCUCCACCCUUUCUGAUCUUUGUGCUGAUACAGAGGAAGCGUUAAGUCCUCUUCAGAGACGUUGGAACAGAAAUCCGGGGUUUAAGGUCCCCAUCUCCAUCCCUGCCAGGCGUGGCCACCUGGUCCUAGGCUUGACAAGUUGCUUCACAGGUGCCUUCUUGAUCUUCUGUAGAGAUGGAAAUGAAGCACAGAGAGAUAAAGUGACUUGCCCAAGGUCACACAGCUGAGCAUGGCAGAACCAGAAUUCCAAAAGAAGCCUGAAGCAAGCCUGCUCCUGCUGUUUGCACCCCUGUGCCCAGCGCUGCUCAGCCUGGGCUCCCCACCCUGACCCAAAGACCCUCCACUGGCUCUCCAGCCCGCUGCAUCUCCCAGCCCAGGAUGCCACACUUUCUAGGGCUCCAGUUCAGCCCAGGGUUGUUGCCUCUGUUGCUGCCCCAGACUCCAGGCUGGUCUCUUUGCCUCAGUCUCCCUCUCAUC